rnacentral:sRNA from 1 species
GCCGGGCGUGGUGGCGGGCACCUGUAAUCCCAGCUACUGGGGAGGCUGAGGGAGGGGAAUUGCUAGACCCCGGGAGGUGGAGGUUGCAGUGAGCCAAGAACGUGCCACUGCACUCCAGCCUGGGCGACAGAGAGAGACUCCAUCUCAAUAAAUAAAUCAAUCAAUAAAUAUUAAAAAAAAAAAAAAGACUGGCUGGAUUAUAAAUUUCUUUUUUUUUUUUUUUUUUGAGACAGAGUCUCCUCACUCUGUCGCCAGGCUGGAGUAGAAUGGUGCGAUCUUGGCUCACUGCAACCUCUACCUCCUGGGUUCAAGCGAUUCCCCGCCUCA